GAUGAACGCUGGCGGCGUGCUUACCACAUGCAAGUCGAACGAUGAAAGCGGGAGCUUGCUCCUGCUGGAUUAGUGGCGAACGGGUGAGUAACACGUGAGUAACCUGCCCUUGACUCUGGGAUAAGCGUUGACAACGACGUCUAAUACCGGAUACGACCUUCUGAGGCAUCUCCUGGGGGUGGAAAGAAUUUAGGUCAAGAAUGGACUCGCGGCCUAUUAGCGAGUUGGUGAGGUAAUGGCUCACCAAGGCAACGACGGGUAGCCGUCCUGAGGAGGGUGACCACACACAGUGGGAGUGCUAAACGGGCCAGACUACUACGGGAGGCAGCAGUGGGGAAUAUUGGAAAAUGGGCGGAAGAUUGAUCCAGCAACGCCGCGGGAGGGAUGACGGUAUUAGGGAUGUAAAACUCUUUCGCCUAUGACAAAGCGCAAGUGACGGUAAAAGGUAAAGAAGCACAGGCCAACUACGUGCCAGCCGCCGCCGUAAAAC
rnacentral:rRNA from 1 species